AGACACUUGCAUUACAACCUUGGGUUUCACAAUUGGCUUAUAAAUGACAUUAAUGUAACAAAACGAGAACAUAAGACAACUAAUUGAUCCUAUAACAAAAACGCUUUUAAUAGCUAUGAAUAGUAUACAUGUUCAAUGGCCCCAAAAACCGACAACUUUAUAGCAUCAUCUAAACAUCAUAACCCAAUAUCUGAGUGGAUUGGAUCUAAAAAAAUAUCAUUCCCAUAUCCAAUAUCACCCAGAACGGUUAAAUUAAAAACCCACGAAGAUGGCGGUUCAUAACUAUGAUCUCACAUUUCGAUUCGAAUGAGAAUCAAAGAAGGCCAAGAACAUUCAAUCCAAGUUAUGUAGCAUACAAAAAGAAGAGAAAAAACAGAAAAAAGAGAACAAUCGAGGCAAAUGAACUUGGAAAAAGAAUAUCCCAAGAAAACAUCUCAAAAGACAGCUCUAAUAGCAUUGAAUCAUAAGAGACUUCAUGUCUAAAUUUGUGAAGCUGGUUUUUAAUGAACAGAGGCAGGGAUUGAGGCCCAGUAAUCUAAAUCUAUAAGUCAAAUGCUUUCCAGCAAGAUUGACAGCAUAAGAUAAUAGAAACCAUUAAACCCAGAAAGAAGAUAAUGUCGAUGGCACAAAUUGAUUAUGUAUGAAGAUGCAGCCUUAGAAAUGCAAAUCUGAUAAUGAAUUGUCGCAAUCAGGCAUCAGAAGCAGCGCUUUCCACAUUGAAAUGGAAUUCGCUGCAACCAGGUCAGAAUUACAAGACUAGUGAACAAAAGAAGAG